rnacentral:rRNA from 1 species
UAUCAAUAAGCGGAGGAAAAGAAACCAACAGGGAUUGCCCCAGUAACGGCGAGUGAAGCGGCAACAGCUCAAAUUUGAAAUCUGGCCCCCAGGGCCCGAGUUGUAAUUUGUAGAGGAUGCUUUGGGCGCGGCGCCUUCCGAGUUCCCUGGAACGGGACGCCAUAGAGGGUGAGAGCCCCGUCUGGUCGGAUGCCUAGCCUCUGUAAAGCUCCUUCGACGAGUCGAGUAGUUUGGGAAUGCUGCUCAAAAUGGGAGGUAUAUGUCUUCUAAAGCUAAAUACUGGCCAGAGACCGAUAGCGCACAAGUAGAGUGAUCGAAAGAUGAAAAGCACUUUGAAAAGAGGGUUAAAAAGUACGUGAAAUUGUUGAAAGGGAAGCGCCUGUGACCAGACUUGGGCCCGGUGAAUCAUCCAGCGUUCUCGCUGGUGCACUUUGCCGGGCACAGGCCAGCAUCAGUUCGGCGCGGGGGAUAAAGGCUUUGGGAAUGUGGCUCCCCCGGGAGUGUUAUAGCCCACUGCGUAAUGCCCUGCGCCGGACUGAGGUACGCGCAUCGCAAGGAUGCUGGCGUAAUGGUCAUCAGCGACCCGUCUUGAAACACGGACCAAGGAGUCGUCUUCGUAUGCGAGUGUUCGGGUGUCAAACCCCUACGCGUAAUGAAAGUGAACGCAGGUGAGAGCUUCGGCGCAUCAUCGACCGAUCCUGAUGUUCUCGGAUGGAUUUGAGUAAGAGCAUACGGGGCCGGACCCGAAAGAAGGUGAACUAUGCCUGUGUAGGGUGAAGCCAGAAGAAACUCUGGUGGAGGUUCGCAGCGGUUCUGACGUGCGAAUCGAUCGUCAAACAUGGGCAUGGGGGCGAAAGACUAAUCGAACCUUCUAGUA